rnacentral:tmRNA from 2 species
GGGGACGUUACGGAUUCGACAGGGGUAGAUUGAGCUCAGGUUGCGCGUCGAGGUUACGGCUCGUAAAACGUUAUCGCCUAAAUAUAACUGGCAAAGAAAACAAUCAACCUGCUUUAGCAGCUGCGUAAGCACUGCUAAGCGAUCCUUCCUGCUAUUGCCCGUGUAGCAGAUUGAAGGGUCUCAAAUCGAGCGGGCUAUACAAUGAUCCACCGUCUGAGGAUGAUUGUUGAAACCAAUCAGACUAGCCUCUCUAAAGCCUGUCGAUAGGCUGAAGAGUAAGCGAAUGAUAAUAUAUCGACUAUGCGUGUAGAAGCCUGAGUGGCGAUAUCUCUGGACGUGGGUUCGAUUCCCACCGUCUCCACCA